rnacentral:rRNA from 1 species
GGCGGCGUGCUUAACACAUGCAAGUCGAACGAUGAAGUUCUCUUCGGAGAAUGGAUUAGUGGCGAACGGGUGAGGAACACGUGAAGAAUCUGCCCUCCACUUUGGGAUAACUCCGGGAAACCGGGGCUAAUACCGAAUAUUGAAGCAUAAGCGGCAUCGCUGAGCUUUGAAAGAAUUUCGGUGGAGGAUGACUUCGCGGCCUAUCAGCUUGUUGGUGAGGUAAUGGCUCACCAAGGCUACGACGGGUAUCCGGCCUGAGAGGGCGACCGGACACACUGGGACUGAGACACGGCCCAGACUCCUACGGGAGGCAGCAGUGGGGAAUAUUGGGCAAUGGACGCAAGUCUGACCCAGCGACGCCGCGUGAGGGAUGAAGGCCUUCGGGUUGUAAACCUCUUUCAGUAGGGAAGAAGCGAAAGUGACGGUACCUACAAAAGAAGCACCGGCCAACUAUGUGUCUGUG